rnacentral:rRNA from 1 species
GGUUAAGCGACUAAGCGUACACGGUGGAUGCCCUGGCAGUCAGAGGCGAUGAAGGACGUGCUAAUCUGCGAAAAGCGUCGGUAAGGUGAUAUGAACCGUUACAGCCGGCGAUGUCCGAAUGGGGAAACCCAGUGCAAUUCGUUGCACUAUCGUUAACUGAAUACAUAGGUUAACGAGGCGAACCGGGGGAACUGAAACAUCUAAGUACCCCGAGGAAAAGAAAUCAACCGAGAUUCCCCCAGUAGCGGCGAGCGAACGGGGAGCAGCCCGGAGUCUGAAUCAGCUUGUGUGUUAGUGGAAGCGUCUGGAAAGUCGCAGGGUACAGGGUGAUACUCCCGUACACUAAAACACACAGGCUGUGAACUCGAAGAGUAGGGCGGGACACGUGGUAUCCUGUCUGAAUAUGGGGGGACCAUCCUCCAAGGCUAAAUACUCCUGACUGACCGAUAGUGAACCAGUACCGUGAGGGAAAGGCGAAAAGAACCCCGGCGAGGGGAGUGAAAAAGAACCUGAAACCGUGUACGUACAAGCAGUAGGAGCCCACUAGUUGGGUGACUGCGUACCUUUUGUAUAAUGGGUCAGCGACUUAUAUUCUGUAGCAAGGUUAACCGUAUAGGGGAGCCGCAGGGAAACCGAGUCUUAACUGGGCGUUAAGUUGCAGGGUAUAGACCCGAAACCCGGUGAUCUAGCCAUGGGCAGGUUGAAGGUUGGGUAACACUAACUGGAGGACCGAACCGACUAAUGUUGAAAAAUUAGCGGAUGACUUGUGGCUGGGGGUGAAAGGCCAAUCAAACCGGGAGAUAGCUGGUUCUCCCCGAAAGCUAUUUAGGUAGCGCCUCGUGAAUUCAUCUUCGGGGGUAGAGCACUGUUUCGGCUAGGGGGUCAUCCCGACUUACCAACCCGAUGCAAACUACGAAUACCGAAGAAUGUUAUCACGGGAGACACACGGCGGGUGCUAACGUCCGUCGUGAAGAGGGAAACAACCCAGACCGCCAGCUAAGGUCCCAAAGUCAUGGUUAAGUGGGAAACGAUGUGGGAAGGCCCAGACAGCCAGGAUGUUGGCUUAGAAGCAGCCAUCAUUUAAAGAAAGCGUAAUAGCUCACUGGUCGAGUCGGCCUGCGCGGAAGAUGUAACGGGGCUAAACCAUGCACCGAAGCUGCGGCAGCGACACUAUGUGUUGUUGGGUAGGGGAGCGUUCUGUAAGCCGUUGAAGGUGGCCUGUGAGGGUUGCUGGAGGUAUCAGAAGUGCGAAUGCUGACAUAAGUAACGAUAAUGCGGGUGAAAAACCCGCACGCCGGAAGACCAAGGGUUCCUGUCCAACGUUAAUCGGGGCAGGGUGAGUCGACCCCUAAGGCGAGGCCGAAAGGCGUAGUCGAUGGGAAACAGGUUAAUAUUCCUGUACUUGGUGUUACUGCGAAGGGGGGACGGAGAAGGCUAUGUUGGCCGGGCGACGGUUGUCCCGGUUUAAGCAUGUAGGCGGAUGUUCCAGGUAAAUCCGGAACGUCACUAACGCUGAGGUGUGAUGACGAGGCACUACGGUGCUGAAGUGACAAAUGCCCUGCUUCCAGGAAAAGCCUCUAAGCAUCAGGUAACAUCAAAUCGUACCCCAAACCGACACAGGUGGUCAGGUAGAGAAUACCAAGGCGCUUGAGAGAACUCGGGUGAAGGAACUAGGCAAAAUGGUGCCGUAACUUCGGGAGAAGGCACGCUGAUGGUAAGUGAAGUGACUUGCUCACGGAGCUGAAAUCAGUCGAAGAUACCAGCUGGCUGCAACUGUUUAUUAAAAACACAGCACUGUGCAAACACGAAAGUGGACGUAUACGGUGUGACGCCUGCCCGGUGCCGGAAGGUUAAUUGAUGGGGUUAUCCUCACGGAGAAGCUCUUGAUCGAAGCCCCGGUAAACGGCGGCCGUAACUAUAACGGUCCUAAGGUAGCGAAAUUCCUUGUCGGGUAAGUUCCGACCUGCACGAAUGGCGUAAUGAUGGCCAGGCUGUCUCCACCCGAGACUCAGUGAAAUUGAACUCGCUGUGAAGAUGCAGUGUACCCGCGGCAAGACGGAAAGACCCCGUGAACCUUUACUAUAGCUUGACACUGAACACUGGUCCUUGAUGUGUAGGAUAGGUGGGAGGCUUUGAAGUGUGGACGCCAGUCUGCAUGGAGCCGUCCUUGAAAUACCACCCUUUAAUGGCUGGUGUUCUAACGUGGGCCCCUAAUCGGGGUUGCGGACAGUGUCUGGUGGGUAGUUUGACUGGGGCGGUCUCCUCCUAAAGAGUAACGGAGGAGCACGAAGGUCAGCUAAUCCUGGUCGGACAUCAGGAGGUUAGUGCAAUGGCAUAAGCUGGCUUGACUGCGAGCGUGACGGCGCGAGCAGGUGCGAAAGCAGGUCAUAGUGAUCCGGUGGUUCUGAAUGGAAGGGCCAUCGCUCAACGGAUAAAAGGUACUCCGGGGAUAACAGGCUGAUACCGCCCAAGAGUUCAUAUCGACGGCGGUGUUUGGCACCUCGAUGUCGGCUCAUCACAUCCUGGGGCUGAAGUAGGUCCCAAGGGUAUGGCUGUUCGCCAUUUAAAGUGGUACGCGAGCUGGGUUUAGAACGUCGUGAGACAGUUCGGUCCCUAUCUGCCGUGGGCGCUGGAGAAUUGAGGGGGGCUGCUCCUAGUACGAGAGGACCGGAGUGGACGCAUCACUGGUGUUCGGGUUGUCAUGCCAAUGGCAUUGCCCGGUAGCUAAAUGCGGAAGAGAUAAGUGCUGAAAGCAUCUAAGCACGAAACUUGCCCCGAGAUGAGUUCUCCCUGACUCCUUGAGAGUCCUGAAGGAACGUUGAAGACGACGACGUUGAUAGGCCGGGUGUGUAAGCGCAGCGAUGCGUUGAGCUAACCGGUACUAAUGAACCGUGAGGCUUAACCUU